UACGUAGGGUGCAAGCGUUAAUCGGAAUUACUGGGCGUAAAGCGUGCGCAGGCGGUGAUGUAAGACAGUUGUGAAAUCCCCGGGCUCAACCUGGGAACUGCGUUUGAAACUACAAGGCUAGAGUGUGGCAGAGGGGGGUGGAAUUCCACGUGUAGCAGUGAAAUGCGUAGAGAUGUGGAGGAACACCGAUGGCGAAGGCAGCCCCCCUGGGUUAACACUGACGCUCAGGCACGAAAGCGUGGGGAGCAAACAGG
rnacentral:rRNA from 1 species